AUUGAACGCUGGCGGAAUGCCUAACACAUGCAAGUCGAGCGGAGUAGCAAUACUCAGCGGCGGACGGGUGAGGAAUACAUAGGAACUUGCCUUUAGGUGGGGGAUAGCUUGGGGAAACUAAAGGUAAUAGCGCAUGAUCUCGCAAGAGCAAAGGGGCGCAAGUCUCGCCUAUAGAGAGGCCUAUGUCUGAUUAGCUAGUUUGCGGUGUAAUAGGCCACCAAGGCGACGAUCAGUAACUGGUCUGAGAGGACGAUCAGUCACACCGGAACUGAGACACGGUCCGGACUCCUACGGGAGGCAGCAGUGGGGAAUAUUGGACAAUGGGCGAAAGCCUGAUCCAGCAAUUCCGAGUGUGUGAAGAAGGCCUUCGGGUUGUAAAGCACUUUAGUGAGGGAAGAAACAGCUUGGCCACACUAAGCCUUGACGGUACCUCAAGAAUAAGCACCGGCUAACUCUGUGCCAGCCGCCGCCGUAA
rnacentral:rRNA from 1 species